AUAUUUACCAAUUAGUACUGUACUGAGAUGAUGAGAGUCUAACUUCAAAUAAAACAGGACUUUCAUAGUCUGCACAUCGAGCCAUCCUGAUCUUACGACCUACGCUUCCAUCCUCCGUAUUCCCGUUUCCUAGACCAGCGUAAGGCUUUCCCGAACCAGCGACGCUGUCGGGCUGCAUCACAGCGUCCGUCAGAGGCGCAUGCGCCCUCUGGAUGAGGUGGCUCGCGCGACCCGCCCCCACCAACGGAGAAUUUAAAGGUUAUACAAAAUGACCCAGAAAAUAAUGAUUCAUUAUAUGAACACUAUAGAGAAACAUGGGGAAAUUCUGAUUCUGAGGCAGAAGAGGACACAAUUCACUCACAGAAAUCAGUUCUUCCAAGCCAUCUCUAUGCAAAAUACAUAAGUCUCCCUCCAUAUUACAUUCUUUGGACAAGGAAGAAAUGGCUCACAGCAUAGUAGCAACAUCUCUAAUUUUAUGAUAAAAUUAAAAUGAGGAGGCAAGAAAGAUGGACUUCUGACAAUCAUUGAGGUCCUGAAUUAUUAUUCUUUUUACGCAAAUAUCUGUACCCCACAUACUGUUGGUAAGUGAUGUUAUGAAAAUAAAAAUAGCUCUGAAAGCCAUAUUUUUUCUGAUGGAGAAGUAUGCUUAUUUGAUGCAUCUAUAUUACAGCUAUGUUUGAGAAGAUAAUCAUACUUAAUGCCAAAUCUGCAUCAGACUGAAAAAUUAGAAUUCCCAACCAGGCAUUAUUCAGUUUUGUUGGGACAUAUAUACCAUUUGUUGGUAUAUCCUAUAUUAACAAUUUUUUCUUUCUGGUCCUGUAACAGAUCAGAAAAGUCUAUGUGACUUUUUGAUUUUUUACAGUGCCAGAUGCAUAUGUCAAUAUACUUCUGAGUUGUCUGUCAAGCUACUAAGAUUUUAAAUACAGGUAGUCCUCACUUAAUGACCCUAAUUGGGGCCAGAAUU